rnacentral:rRNA from 1 species
GAUGAACGCUGGCGGCGUGCUUAACACAUGCAAGUCGAACGAAGCACUUUAUUUGAUUUCCUUCGGGACUGAUUAUUUUGUGACUGAGUGGCGGACGGGUGAGUAACGCGUGGGUAACCUGCCUUGUACAGGGGGAUAACAGUUGGAAACGGCUGCUAAUACCGUAUAAGCGCACGGCAUCGCAUGAUGCAGUGUGAAAAACUCCGGUGGUAUAAGAUGGACCCGCGUUGGAUUAGCUAGUUGGUGAGGUAACGGCCCACCAAGGCGACGAUCCAUAGCCGACCUGAGAGGGUGACCGGCCACAUUGGGACUGAGACACGGCCCAAACUCCUACGGGAAGCAGCAGUGGGGAAUAGUGCACAAUGGGCGAAAGCCUGAUGCAGCGACGCCGCGUGAGCGAAGAAGUAUUUCGGUAUGUAAAGCUCUAUCAGCAGGGAAGAUAAUGACGGUACCUGACUAAGAAGCACCGGCUAAAUACGUG